AUUAUUACACCGACUCAAAAACGUUUAAGAUACCAGAUUUUAACCAGACUGUGGUUAACGAUUUUCAGGGGAAAGUCGAUAGUGCAUUCGAAGAGUCACCUGCUGACGUCACUGGGCGACGUCCAUACUGUUGAUUCACGUUCUAACGUCUGUAGCACAACUGUACAUGCAAUCUAGUUAUUUUUCAACAUAUUAUUUUUACACUCUCUCUCUCUCUCUCUCUCUCUCUCUCUCUCUCUCUCUCUCUCUCUCUCUCUCUCUCAUUCACUCACUCAACCCUUUGGAAUAAACUGGAGCAUGGCUGCACCCCCAGACCUCCUCGGUCAACGUCGCUGUCUGAUUGCACUAAUGGUGUGUGGAAGUUGGGGUCUAAGCACAGGGUCUGCUAUGAAACAGCAACACUAGAGCAGUGAUGGCUAGGGGCCUUGCUCAAGGGCCCAACAGUGGUGGCUUGGCAGUGCUGGAGCUUGAACCCUGAUCCUCUAAUCAACAACCCACUUUGUUGAGGAUGAGUCUCAACCGCUGAGCGUCCACUGCCAACAGCAAAGGGAAACUAAAUCUGAAGGUUGUUCAGAAAGAACGCUUGAAUGUUAUAGUUAGGUGUCCACCAACUUCAGUCACGUAUUUGGGAUUCACAUCGUAGUGACAAUUAAAUAAAAACAUUUUUAGUCACACAAAGACAAUCAUGCAUGGCUUUAUAGUACAUACGGAUAGUACAGUAUAACAUGCGAGGACGCAAGACGGUAUGUGCCUUGAUUGAAAUAUGACUAUUAAAGAAUAAACAAAGAUGAAGAGUUCUCUCAUUAAUAUGGGUGUCACAUUUAUUAUCACACACUAGAGGUAAAUACGUACAGUACAUUUUUCCCUCAAAAAAAAACAAAAAAAAAACGUAAAACUUCAAGUUUGGAAUGUGAUAUAGUGAGAAAAGUGAAGCUUAAAGUAACCCAAGCGUUGAGGAAAUGAUGCUGCACACUGGUGUGAGGGGAAAAAACACAAAUGCAAGCUACCAGUGAAGUGUGAGCAGUGCACCUUAAAGUGGAAAAACUACAUCACCUUUAAUUGUAAUUGUAAAGGCUAAAGACUU